UUAUUGAAGAGCAUGUCUUUGUUUUUAAAAGAAUCUUCGAAACCUGGAUGAAAAAGUUUGAAUAGUAAAUUUUCUACAUAAACAAUAGGCAAAUACAAAAAAAAUAAAAAAAAUAGAAAACCUAGCAAUAGAUAAUUAUUACAAUUAAGGAACUCAUCAAAUUCCUCAAACAAAUUAGGAUGAAAUUGAUUCAUCAUUUCCUUUCUAGCAGCUUUCUUCUCGUGCUGGACGGUUCGUUGGCUGCAAACCUCGAGGGCCAAUGAUUGGGGAUUCAGGGUCCUCUAUCUUAGGCGUCUUGUUUAUGCCCAGUUUCUUGGUCUCGUUUGCCUUCUUUUGGCACUCUUUUACCUUUCGUGUUAUCUUCAAGACUAUGGACGGCAUCUUCAGCAUCUAGCUCAUCCUCAAAAUAGACAAAUACAAAUCCUGCAGGAAAAAAGUAGCAUGAGGU
rnacentral:lncRNA from 1 species